rnacentral:rRNA from 1 species
AGGAAGAGAAAAUAAAUGAAUGAUUCCCCCAGUAGUGGCGAGCGAACGGGGAACAGCCCAAACCGUUGACGUCGCAAGGCGCCAGCGGGGUUGUAGGACCGCGACAUUGUAUGCAAAUCGUGAACAGAACACUUUGGAAAAUGUGACCAUAGACGGUGAUAGUCCAGUAUGUGAAGCGAAAUGCAGCAUAGCGGUAUCCUGAGUAACGCGGGACACGAGGAAUCCUGCGCGAAUCUGCCGGGACCAUCCGGUAAGGCUAAAUACUCCCGUGAGACCGAUAGCGAACGAGUACUGUGAAGGAAAGGUGAAAAGAACCCCGAGCAGGGGAGUGAAAUAGUUCCUGAAACCAUACGCCUACAAGCGGUCGGAGCAUCUUACGAUGUGACGGCGUGCCUUUUGCAUAAUGAUCCUACGAGUUACCGUCACUGGCGAGGUUGAGUGUCACGAGACACGUAGCCGCAGUGAAAGCGAGCCUGAACAGGGCGCAUAGUCAGUGGGGGUAGACGCGAAACCAAGUGAUCUACACUUGGCCAGGAUGAAGUCCCGGUAACACGGGAUGGAGGUCCGCACCAAUAAGCGUUGAAAAGCUUCUGGAUGAGCCGAGUGUAGGAGUGAAAGGCCAAUCAAACUUGGAGAUAGCUCGUACUCCCCGAAAGGCAUUUAGGUGCCGCGUCGGAUGGUCACCGUGAGAGGUAGAGCGACCGAUAGGACAAGAGGGCUUCACCGCCUAUCGAGUCCUGACGAACUCCGAAUGCUCACGGUCUGCAGUCCGGCAGUAAGGGGGCGGGUGCUAAGGUCCGUCCCCGAGAGGAGAAGAAUCCAGACCGCCGUCUAAGGUCCCGGAGUUCUGCCUGAGUUAGUCUAACGAAGUCUGGUCCCUAUGACAGCUAGGAUGUUGGCUUGGAAGCAGCCAUUCAUUCAAAGAGUGCGUAACAGCUCACUAGUCGAGGGUCCGGGCAUGGAUAAUAAUCGGGUAUAAGGCAGACACCGAAGGCGCGGGAUAGCAUUUAAGAAAGUAUCGGUAGGGGAGCAUACUCACAGCGUGGAAUGGUGUACGUAAGUUAUCCUGGAGCGGUGAGUAAAGCAAAUGUAGGAAUAAGUAACGAUAAGGAGGGUUAGAUUCCCUCCCGCUGUAAGACCAAGGUUUCCCGGGCAAUGCCAAUCAGCCCGGGGUCAGUCGGGUCCUAAGUCUAAGCCGAACGGCGAUGGCGAUGGCAGAGACGGUUAAUAUUCCGUCACUGCCGCAUGGGGCGACGUGGAGACGGAGCAGUGAAACCACCGCGGGGCGACGGAAGUCCCCGUUGAAGAGUGUAGGUGUUGAGGAUGGCAGGCAAAUCCACCGUCCGAGCUGAACUUGAUAGUAUGGAGUCUUCUUCGGAAGAAUCCAAUAGUGUGGGUAAUCAUACUCCCGAGAAAAUCCGCUAAGCUUAACCCAUGCGGCACCCGUACCGCAAACGGACACACGUGGUCGGGUAGAACAUACUAAGGCGUUGAGAGAUUCAUGGUUAAGGAACUAGGCAAAUUGACCCUGUAACUUCGGGAUAAAGGGUCCUCGUGAUGAGCGAGGCGCAGAGAAUAGGUCCAGGCAACUGUUUAACAAAAACACAGGGCUGUGCAAACUCGAAAGAUGACGUAUACAGCCUGACACCUGCCCGGUGCCGGAAGGUUAAGAGGAGAUGUCACUCGCAAGAGGAAGCAUUGAAUUGAAGCCCCGGUAAACGGCGGCCGUAACUAUAACGGUCCUAAGGUAGCGAAAUUCCUUGUCGGGU